GUCAUCUACAAGUGGCCGCGUCGCAUAUAAAUAUUAGUUCCUGCAAAGAUGGAAAAUCCUAAAUGUGCGGUAGCUAAAAUGGCAAGAAACAUUGAGUUUUGUCUGUUUUUUUGUAGAACCACCUGCAACUGGACACAUUUCAGAUACAUUUCCACCGAAUCGAGAACCAAGACAGUAUCGCCAUGAGCAGAUGCAGACCCGAAGACAUUCAAGCAGCACUUUGAGAGCAAGCAUCCCAUGUCUCCAAUGGUCCCAGUACCGGUUGAUGUGCAGACAUAAGUGACCUCACACACUCAAAUGGACCUAUAGCUGGGACACACGGUGACCACGAUUUGAAUGCUUACAGCUGAAAUGGAAUGACGUGACCCCGAGAAUGACUGGACAUGGGCUGGAUAUUUGUGACAACAACCUAAAAGGGGUGCAGACGCACACUAGCACCCCAUUUUAUGUUUAUUCCAUAGCCAAUCAUAUCUCAAGCUAACCCCUUAUUCCACACUAUGCCUUUUAUGCCCUGUGGUCCCUCAACUGCUGACACUUUGUAACUCUCCAUCUUAUAAACCCACACUACCUUGACCCAUUUUCCCUUUGCUGCUUAUUAACAUAUUAUUCUCCUGAUUUGAUAACAUUUAGACUCAAUAACAUGUUUCAAGGUGCUUACACAUGAGCGGUGGUAAGCGGCAAUUGAACCACGAGAAAAUCCGCCUACCAUGUGUAGAGACCAGUGAUCCAGGUUGUUGUCAGCUUGAAAGUUGUCAUUAAAACAUUGUUUGAUUGGUUGACAAGAUGAACUCUGCUCAUUGGUCAGCCAUGCGCGGCAGCAGCUCAGGACUUCAGCUAAUGACAUCUUUUGGUGCCUCGGGCUCCGAGUCAGCUUCACCUCUCAUGGGAGCGAGCACCACGAACAGGGCCGCUUGCAAAACUGCUUGCAUUUUGUCGCCAGCCGCUCUACUCCAAUUGAAGUCUGUAAAC